GCCGGCGUAGCUCAAUUGGUAGAGCAGCUGUUUUGUAAUCAGAAGGUUGAGGGUUCAAGUCCUUUUGCCGGCACCA
rnacentral:tRNA from 1 species